rnacentral:snoRNA from 1 species
UGCUGUGGAUGAUGAGAUCAAUAAUUUACAGUUAUCCCUGUCUGAUGUAGCAGGUGCUGAAAACUUGUAAUCUGACCCGCA